rnacentral:rRNA from 1 species
GAUGAACGCUGGCGGCGUGCCUAAUACAUGCAAGUCGAGCGAACGGACGAGAAGCUUGCUCCUCUGAUGUUAGCGGCGGACGGGUGAGUAACACGUGGAUAACCUACCUAUAAGACUGGGAUAACUUCGGGAAACCGGAGCUAAUACCGGAUGAUAUAUUGAACCGCAUGGUUCAAAAGUGAAAGACGGUUUUGCUGUCACUUAUAGAUGGAUCCGCGCUGCAUUAGCUAGUUGGUAAGGUAACGGCUUACCAAGGCAACGAUGCAUAGCCGACCUGAGAGGUUGUUCGGCCCCACUGAAACUGAGACCCGGUCCAGACUCCUAGGGGAGGCAGCAGUAGGGAUUCUUCCGCAAUGGGCGAAGGCCUAACGGAGCAACGCCGCGUGAGUGAUGAAGGUCUUCGGUUCGUAAAACUCUGUUAUUAGGAAAGAACAUAUGUGUAAGUAACUUUGCACAUCUUGCCGGUACCUAAUCAGAAGGCCACGGCUACCUACUU